AGAGAAAGAAUCAAACAUUUAUCCUGUCUUUUCUGUACAUACCAUACCACGGGGUAACCAAUGGGAAAAUAGUUUCUGAUUCGAAUCAGCAAAAUGAAAAUGAAACUAUUAGACAAUUGGAAAACGUGGACGGGCUGUAUCGCAUUGUGAGAACUACAAGAAGCAGAGAGCAAUGCAGCUUAUAGCAGGAGGGGUGAAAGAAAGAAAAAGAAAAGGAAGGAAAGAAGGAAGCAAGAAAAACAUUUAGAGAAUGCCUAGCCUGUCUCUAGAAAUCCUAAGGAGGCUGAAUUAAUCCCUUCCAAAGUCGCACAGGUAAUUUGGCAUAGCUGAAUUGUGAUUCAGUUGAUUUGUAAUUUCUAACAGAGUAAUUUUCCACUAUCAUUUCUUUUAUCGUUAUUAAUUAUUUUUGUGGGUUGCGUACAAUUUGCUUGAUGCAAUACUAAGUGUUGGGAAUACAAAGAUGAGUAAAUUAUCAUAUUUUAUUAUCAAAUCUCUUGCCUGAUUAACUGAGAGUUUUCCAUGCUUCAAGGUGACAAGCAACUCAUCAGUGCAAAUGUCUAAUAUGUGUGUUAAUAUGCUAGUCAUUCCUUCUCAGUGAUAUAACAUAUUAAUGGUUACAAUAGAAUGUCAGCAAAGAUGGCCCC
rnacentral:lncRNA from 1 species